AAACGUAGGACGCAAGCGUUAUCCGGAUUUACUGGGCGUAAAGCGCGUGCAGGCGGCACGGUAAGUCGGACGUGAAAGCUCCUGGCUCAACUGGGAGAGGUCGUUCGAAACUACCGAGCUUGAGGACGGUAGAGGAGAGUGGAAUUCCGGGUGUAGUGGUGAAAUGCGUAGAUAUCCGGAGGAACACCAGUGGCGAAGGCGGCUCUCUGGGCCGUUCCUGACGCUCAGACGCGAAAGCUAGGGGAGCGAACGGGAUUAGAAACCCCGGUAGUCCUAGCCGUAAACGAUGGAGACUAGGUGUGGGGAGGUUUAAACCUCUCUGUGCCGUAGCUAACGCGUUAAGUCUCCCGCCUGGGGAUUACGACCGCAAGGUUAAA
rnacentral:rRNA from 1 species